rnacentral:rRNA from 1 species
GGUUAAGCGACUAAGCGUACACGGUGGAUGCCCUGGCAGUCAGAGGCGAUGAAGGACGUGCUAAUCUGCGAAAAGCGUCGGUAAGGUGAUAUGAACCGUUAUAACCGGCGAUGUCCGAAUGGGGAAACCCAGUGUGUUUCGACACACUAUCAUUAACUGAAUCCAUAGGUUAAUGAGGCGAACCGGGGGAACUGAAACAUCUAAGUACCCCGAGGAAAAGAAAUCAACCGAGAUUCCCCCAGUAGCGGCGAGCGAACGGGGAGGAGCCCAGAGCCUGAAUCAGUGUGUGUGUUAGUGGAAGCGUCUGGAAAGGCGUGCGAUACAGGGUGACAGCCCCGUACACAAAAAUGCACAUGCUGUGAGCUCGAUGAGUAGGGCGGGACACGUGGUAUCCUGUCUGAAUAUGGGGGGACCAUCCUCCAAGGCUAAAUACUCCUGACUGACCGAUAGUGAACCAGUACCGUGAGGGAAAGGCGAAAAGAACCCCGGCGAGGGGAGUGAAAAAGAACCUGAAACCGUGUACGUACAAGCAGUGGGAGCCUCUUUAUGGGGUGACUGCGUACCUUUUGUAUAAUGGGUCAGCGACUUAUAUUCUGUAGCAAGGUUAACCGAAUAGGGGAGCCGAAGGGAAACCGAGUCUUAACUGGGCGUUAAGUUGCAGGGUAUAGACCCGAAACCCGGUGAUCUAGCCAUGGGCAGGUUGAAGGUUGGGUAACACUAACUGGAGGACCGAACCGACUAAUGUUGAAAAAUUAGCGGAUGACUUGUGGCUGGGGGUGAAAGGCCAAUCAAACCGGGAGAUAGCUGGUUCUCCCCGAAAGCUAUUUAGGUAGCGCCUCGUGAAUUCAUCUCCGGGGGUAGAGCACUGUUUCGGCAAGGGGGUCAUCCCGACUUACCAACCCGAUGCAAACUGCGAAUACCGGAGAAUGUUAUCACGGGAGACACACGGCGGGUGCUAACGUCCGUCGUGAAGAGGGAAACAACCCAGACCGCCAGCUAAGGUCCCAAAGUCAUGGUUAAGUGGGAAACGAUGUGGGAAGGCCCAGACAGCCAGGAUGUUGGCUUAGAAGCAGCCAUCAUUUAAAGAAAGCGUAAUAGCUCACUGGUCGAGUCGGCCUGCGCGGAAGAUGUAACGGGGCUAAACCAUGCACCGAAGCUGCGGCAGCGACGCUGAUGCGUUGUUGGGUAGGGGAGCGUUCUGUAAGCCUGUGAAGGUGUGCUGUGAGGCAUGCUGGAGGUAUCAGAAGUGCGAAUGCUGACAUAAGUAACGAUAAAGCGGGUGAAAAGCCCGCUCGCCGGAAGACCAAGGGUUCCUGUCCAACGUUAAUCGGGGCAGGGUGAGUCGACCCCUAAGGCGAGGCCGAAAGGCGUAGUCGAUGGGAAACAGGUUAAUAUUCCUGUACUUGGUGUUACUGCGAAGGGGGGACGGAGAAGGCUAUGUUGGCCGGGCGACGGUUGUCCCGGUUUAAGCGUGUAGGCUGGUUUUCCAGGCAAAUCCGGAGAAUCAAGGCUGAGGCGUGAUGACGAGGCACUACGGUGCUGAAGCAACAAAUGCCCUGCUUCCAGGAAAAGCCUCUAAGCAUCAGGUAACAUCAAAUCGUACCCCAAACCGACACAGGUGGUCAGGUAGAGAAUACCAAGGCGCUUGAGAGAACUCGGGUGAAGGAACUAGGCAAAAUGGUGCCGUAACUUCGGGAGAAGGCACGCUGAUAUGUAGGUGAAGCGACUUGCUCGUGGAGCUGAAAUCAGUCGAAGAUACCAGCUGGCUGCAACUGUUUAUUAAAAACACAGCACUGUGCAAACACGAAAGUGGACGUAUACGGUGUGACGCCUGCCCGGUGCCGGAAGGUUAAUUGAUGGGGUCAGCGCAAGCGAAGCUCUUGAUCGAAGCCCCGGUAAACGGCGGCCGUAACUAUAACGGUCCUAAGGUAGCGAAAUUCCUUGUCGGGUAAGUUUCCGACCUGCACGAAUGGCGUAAUGAUGGCCAGGCUGUCUCCACCCGAGACUCAGUGAAAUUGAACUCGCUGUGAAGAUGCAGUGUACCCGCGGCAAGACGGAAAGACCCCGUGAACCUUUACUAUAGCUUGACACUGAACACUGGUCCUUGAUGUGUAGGAUAGGUGGGAGGCUUUGAAGUGUGGACGCCAGUCUGCAUGGAGCCGUCCUUGAAAUACCACCCUUUAAUGGCUGGUGUUCUAACGUAGGCCCCUUAUCGGGGUUGCGGACAGUGUCUGGUGGGUAGUUUGACUGGGGCGGUCUCCUCCUAAAGAGUAACGGAGGAGCACGAAGGUUGGCUAAUCCUGGUCGGACAUCAGGAGGUUAGUGCAAUGGCAUAAGCCAGCUUGACUGCGAGCGUGACGGCGCGAGCAGGUGCGAAAGCAGGUCAUAGUGAUCCGGUGGUUCUGAAUGGAAGGGCCAUCGCUCAACGGAUAAAAGGUACUCCGGGGAUAACAGGCUGAUACCGCCCAAGAGUUCAUAUCGACGGCGGUGUUUGGCACCUCGAUGUCGGCUCAUCACAUCCUGGGGCUGAAGUAGGUCCCAAGGGUAUGGCUGUUCGCCAUUUAAAGUGGUACGCGAGCUGGGUUUAGAACGUCGUGAGACAGUUCGGUCCCUAUCUGCCGUGGGCGCUGGAGAACUGAGGGGGGCUGCUCCUAGUACGAGAGGACCGGAGUGGACGCAUCACUGGUGUUCGGGUUGUCAUGCCAAUGGCACUGCCCGGUAGCUAAAUGCGGAAGAGAUAAGUGCUGAAAGCAUCUAAGCACGAAACUUGCCCCGAGAUGAGUUCUCCCUGACCCUUUAAGGGUCCUGAAGGAACGUUGAAGACGACGACGUUGAUAGGCCGGGUGUGUAAGCGCAGCGAUGCGUUGAGCUAACCGGUACUAAUGAACCGUGAGGCUUAACCUU